rnacentral:rRNA from 1 species
AGUGAACGCUGGCGGCAGGCCUAACACAUGCAAGUCGAACGGCAGCACGGCAGUAGCAAUACUGUGGUGGCGAGUGGCGGACGGGGUGAGGAAUACAUCGGGAUCUACCCUGUUGUGGGGGAUAACGUAGGGAAACUUACGCUAAUACCGCAUAAGAACUGAGGUUGAAAGCGGCGGACCGCAAGGCGUCGCGCGAUUGGAUGAACCGAUGUCCGAUUAGCUAGUUGGCGGGGUAAAGGCCCACCAAGGCGACGAUCGGUAGCUGGUCUGAGAGGACGACCAGCCACGCUGGAACUGAGACACGGUCCAGACUCCUACGGGAGGCAGCAGUGGGGAAUAUUGGACAAUGGGCGCAAGCCUGAUCCAGCCAUGCCGCGUGGGUGAAGAAGGCC